rnacentral:tRNA from 1 species
GUUUCCGUAGUGUAGUGGUUAUCACGUUCGCCUCACAUGAGAAAGGUCCCCAGUUCGAAACUGGGCGGAAACA